AAAAAUCUGGAAUCAGGCCGGGGUGGAAACACCCCGCAUAACGGCUGAACAUCCGACCGCAAGCCUGGUUCAUUGCAUUGAGUGAUGUACGGAGUUUAAGAGC
rnacentral:ncRNA from 1 species